ACUCCUGCGGGAGGCAGCAGUGGGGAAUAUUGCACAAUGGGCGCAAGCCUGAUGCAGCCAUGCCGCGUGUAUGAAGAAGGCCUUCGGGUUGUAAAGUACUUUCAGCGGGGAGGAAGGCAAUACGGUUAAUAACCGUGUUGAUUGACGUUACCCGCAGAAGAAGCACCGGCUAACUCCGUACCAGCAGCCGCGGUAAUACGGAGGGUGCAAGCGUUAAUCGGAAUUACUGGGCGUAAAGCGCACGCAGGCGGUCUGUCAAGUCGGAUGUGAAAUCCCCGGGCUCAACCUGGGAACUGCAUUCGAAACUGGCAGGCUUGAGUCUUGUAGAGGGGGGUAGAAUUCCAGGUGUAGCGGUGAAAUGCGUAGAGAUCUGGAGGAAUACCGGUGGCGAAGGCGGCCCCCUGGACAAAGACUGACGCUCAGGUGCGAAAGCGUGGGGAGCAAACAGGAUUAGAAACCCGAGUAGUCCCAUGAU
rnacentral:rRNA from 1 species